CUUUAUUGGAGAGUUUGAUCCUGGCUCAGGACGAACGCUGGCGGCAUGCCUAAUACAUGCAAGUCGAGCGGACUUGAAGAGAAGCUUGCUUCUCU
rnacentral:rRNA from 3 species